rnacentral:rRNA from 1 species
AUUGAACGCUGGCGGCAGGCUUAACACAUGCAAGUCGAGCGGGGUGAUGGUGCUUGCACUAUCACUUAGCGGCGGACGGGUGAGUAAUGCUUAGGAAUCUGCCUAUUAGUGGGGGACAACAUCUUGAAAGGGAUGCUAAUACCGCAUACGUCCUACGGGAGAAAGCAGGGGAUCACUUGUGACCUUGCGCUAAUAGAUGAGCCUAAGUCGGAUUAGCUAGUUGGUGGGGUAAAGGCCUACCAAGGCGACGAUCUGUAGCGGGUCUGAGAGGAUGAUCCGCCACACUGGGACUGAGACACGGCCCAGACUCCUACGGGAGGCAGCAGUGGGGAAUAUUGGACAAUGGGGGGAACCCUGAUCCAGCCAUGCCGCGUGUGUGAAGAAGGCCUUAUGGUUGUAAAGCACUUUAAGCGAGGAGGAGGCUCUUUUGGUUAAUACCCAAGAUGAGUGGACGUUACUCGCAGAAUAAGCACCGGUUAACUCUGUGCCAGCAGCCGCCGUAA